AACGAACGCUGGCGGCAGGCCUAACACAUGCCAGUCGAGCGCGCCCUUCGGGGUGAGCGGCGGACGGGUGAGUAACGCGUGGGAACGUGCCCUUCUCUGCGGAAUAGCCUCGGGAAACUGAGAGUAAUACCGCAUACGCCCUUUGGGGGAAAGAUUUAUCGGAGAAGGAUCGGCCCGCGUUGGAUUAGGUAGUUGGUGGGGUAAUGGCCCACCAAGCCGACGAUCCAUAGCUGGUUUGAGAGGAUGAUCAGCCACACUGGGACUGAGACACGGCCCAGACUCCUACGGGAGGCAGCAGUGGGGAAUCUUAGACAAUGUGGGCAACCCUGAUCUAGCCAUGCCGCGUGAGUGAUGAAGGCCUUAGGGUUGUAAAGCUCUUUCAGCUGGGAAGAUAAUGACGGUACCAGCAGAAGAAGCCCCGGCUAACUCCGUG
rnacentral:rRNA from 1 species